UAAGAUUUAUUUAUUUAUUUAUUUUUAUUUAUUUAUUUAUUUUCACUUUAGCUAUCCACAGACACACCAGAAUAGGGCAUUGGAUCCCAUUACAGAUGGUUGUGAGCCACCAUGUGGUUGCUGGGAUUUGAACUCAGGACCUCUGGAAGAGCAGUCAGUGCUCUUAACCACUGAGCCAUCUCUCCAGCCCUCACUUGAAGUUUUAAUGUACCCCCAAAGCCCAAAGUAUCAAAGAUGUGAAAACAAAAGUUGUGCCAUUAAGAAACUGUAGAACCAAGUGAGAAGUCCUUGCGUCACUGGGGGUAUAUUCUAGAAGGUGACUCUGGGGGCUUUCCUUUUAGCUUUUGUGUUAUACUACAUGUUCCUGUCAUGAUGCACUAUUUCACCACAUGCACAAAAAUGGGGCUAGACAGGAACCUCCUUCCACCCCACCCCCUUCUUUUUAGAAGCCAACUAGGAAUUUGGUUGUAAUGACAACACUGACUAG
rnacentral:lncRNA from 1 species